UACAGGGGGGGCAAGCGUUGUUCGGAAUUACUGGGCGUAAAGGGCCAGUAGGCGGCCAACUAAGUCACACGUGAAAUCCCCAGGCUUAACCUGGGAACUGCGUGUGAUACUGGAUGGCUUGAAUUCGGGAGAGGGAUGCAGAAUUCCAGGUGUAGCGGUGAAAUGCGCAGAUAUCAGGAGGAACACCGGUGGCGAAGGCGGUGGUCUGGGCCGGCACUGACGCUGAGGAGCGAAAGCGUGGGGAGCAAACAGG
rnacentral:rRNA from 1 species